UUUGGUCACCUGCCGAAGGUGCCAAGAGGGAAACCGGUGAGAGUCCGGUGCAGUCCCGCUGCUGUAAGCUCAGGUAUUGAAGCUCAAUAUGAUGUGUCACUGUAUAACGCUAUAGUUAUAUGGGAAGACAGAGCCGAGAGAGCAAGCCAGAAGACCUGCCAAAUCACU
rnacentral:ncRNA from 1 species